GUGGCCAUAGCUCAAUCGGUAGAGCAUCGGACUGUGGCUCCGAGGGUUGCGGGUUCGAGACCCGCUGGCCACC
rnacentral:tRNA from 2 species